CUAGACUUCGCCUGUUCAGGUGUCCCGAAGGCGUUCGCCGGAGGGAUGAAACGGGAAGCCGGUGCGUGGUUCGUCCACCAUUCCGGCGCUGCCCCCGCAACGGUAAACGAGUACAGGCGCGGCCAUCCGCCACUGUGUCGAACGACACGGGAAGGCGCCGCGCCAGACGGUCGAAGCAUCGUCGCUCGCAAGCCCGGAGACCGGCCCGGACAUGACUGCUGGC
rnacentral:ncRNA from 2 species